UACGAAGGGGGCUAGCGUUGCUCGGAAUUACUGGGCGUAAAGGGCGCGUAGGCGGUUCUAUAAGUCAGGCGUGAAAUUCCUGGGCUUAACCUGGGGACUGCGCUUGAGACGGGUGUGCUGGAGGGCAGGAGAGGCUCGCGGAAUUCCCAGUGUAGAGGUGAAAUUCGUAGAUAUUGGGAAGAACACCGGUGGCGAAGGCGGCGAGCUGGCCUGUACCUGACGCUGAGGCGCGACAGCGUGGGGGAGCAAACAGG
rnacentral:rRNA from 1 species